ACUCAAAGGAAUAGACGGGGACCCGCACAAGCAGCGGAGCAUGUGGUUUAAUUCGAAGCAACGCGAAAAACCUUACCAAGACUUGACAUCGAGUGCAACCCUCAGAAACGGGGGCCUCCUUCGGGACACGAAGACAGGUGGUGCAUGGUUGUCGUCAGCUCGUGUCGUGAGAUGUUCGGUUAAGUCCGGCAACGAGCGCAACCCUUAUAGUCAGUUGCCAUCAUUAAGUUGGGAACUCUGGCUAGACUGCCGCAGAUAAUGCGGAGGAAGGCGGGGAUGAUGUCAAAUCAUCAUGCCCCUUACGUCUUGGGCUACACACGUGCUACAAUGGGCGCUACAAAGAGCAGCAAACUGGUAACGGUAAGCGAAUCUCAAAAAAGCGUUCUCAGUUCAGAUUGAGGGCUGAAACCCGCCCUCAUGAAGCAGGAGUUGCUAGUAAUCCCGAAUCAGCAUGUCGGGGUGAAUGCGUUCCCGGGUCUUGUACACACCGCCCGU
rnacentral:rRNA from 1 species